rnacentral:rRNA from 1 species
AGUGAACGCUGGCGGUAGGCCUAACACAUGCAAGUCGAACGGCAGCACAGUAAGAGCUUGCUCUUACGGGUGGCGAGUGGCGGACGGGUGAGGAAUACAUCGGAAUCUACUUUUUCGUGGGGGAUAACGUAGGGAAACUUACGCUAAUACCGCAUACGACCUACGGGUGAAAGCAGGGGAUCUUCGGACCUUGCGCGAUUGAAUGAGCCGAUGUCGGAUUAGCUAGUUGGCGGGGUAAAGGCCCACCAAGGCGACGAUCCGUAGCUGGUCUGAGAGGAUGAUCGGCCACACUGGAACUGAGACACGGUCCAGACUCCUAAGGGAGGCAGCAGUGGGGAAUAUUGGACAAUGGGCGCAAGCCUGAUCCAGCCAUACCGCGUGGGUGAAGAAGGCCUUCGGGUUGUAAAGCCCUUUUGUUGGGAAAGAAAAGCAGCAGGUUAAUACCCCGCUGUUCUGACGGUACCCAAAGAAUAAGCACCGGCUAACUUCGUG